CCUACGGGAGGCAGCAGUGGGGAAUCUUGCGCAAUGGGCGAAAGCCUGACGCAGCAACGCCGCGUGCGGGAUGAAGGCCUUCGGGCUGUAAACCGCUUUCAGCAGGAACGAAAAUGACGGUACCUGCAGAAGAAGGAGCGGCCAACUACGCGCCAGCAGCCGCGGUGACACGUAGGCUCCAAGCGUUGUCCGGAUUUAUUGGGCGUAAAGAGCUCGUAGGCGGUUUAGUAAGUCGGGUGUUAAAACUCUGGGCUCAACCCGGAGAGGCCAUCCGAUACUGCUGUGACUUGAGUUCAGGAGGGGAGCGGGGAAUUCCUAGUGUAGCGGUGAAAUGCGCAGAUAUUAGGAGGAACACCGGUGGCGAAGGCGCCGCUCUGGACUGAAACUGACGCUGAGGAGCGAAAGCAUGGGUAGCAAACAGGAUUAGAUACCCUGGUAGUCCAUGCCGUAAACGGUGGGCACUAGGUGUGGGUUCCAACUAACGGGAUCCGCGCCGUCGCUAACGCAUUAAGUGCCCCGCCUGGGGGAGGUACGGUCGCAGACUAAACUACAAUAGAUAGACGGCGNGAGACGUGCCGACGGACGACGACGAGGGAGUAGG
rnacentral:rRNA from 1 species